UACGAGUGCCCCAAGCGUUAUCCGGAAUCAUUGGGCGUAAAGGGUGUGUAGGUGGUCAUGUUAGUCUUCUGUCAAAUUCUUCGGCUUAACCGGGGGCAUGCGGAGGAAACGGCAUGACUAGAGGAUGCGAGAGGUGAAUGGAACUCAUGGAGUAGGGGUGAAAUCCGUUGAUAUCAUGGGGAACACCAAAAGCGAAGGCAAGUCACUGGCGCACGCCUGACACUGAGACACGAAAGCGUAGGUAGCGAAUGGG
rnacentral:rRNA from 1 species